GACGAACGCUGGCGGCGUGCCUAAUACAUGCAAGUCGAGCGAAGUUUUUCUGGUGCUUGCACUAGAAAAACUUAGCGGCGAACGGGUGAGUAACACGUAAAGAACCUGCCUCAUAGACUGGGACAACUAUUGGAAACGAUAGCUAAUACCGGAUAACAGUAUUUCUCGCAUGAGAGAUAUUUAAAAGCUGGUUAUGCCAACACUAUGAGAUGGCUUUGCGGUGCAUUAGCUAGUUGGUGGGGUAAAGGCCCACCAAGGCGACGAUGCAUAGCCGACCUGAGAGGGUGAUCGGCCACACUGGGACUGAGACACGGCCCAGACUCCUACGGGAGGCAGCAGUAGGGAAUCUUCCGCAAUGGGCGAAAGCCUGACGGAGCAACGCCGCGUGAGUGAAGAAGGAUUUCGGUUCGUAAAGCUCUGUUGUUAGGGAAGAAUGGAUAUGUAGUAACUAUACAUGUAAGAGACGGUACCUAACCAGAAAGCCACGGCUAACUACGUG
rnacentral:rRNA from 1 species